AUUCGUAAACUGGAGUGCCGUUUUUGCGAUGUCAUUCGUAAACUUGAGUGGCAUUCUUACGAUGUAAUUCGUAAACUUUAUAUAUCUAUAGUGUCGUUUGGUGAUGUCAUAAGUACAUCCGUAAACUAUAAUGCCAUUCUUGCAAUGUCAUUCGUAAACUCGAGUGCCAUUCUUACGGUAACAUCAUUCGUAAACUUAAGUAAUGUUUUUGCCAUGCCAUCCCUAAACUCGAGUGCCGUUUUUACCAUGCCAUUCGUAAACUCGAGUGACUUUUUGCCAUGCCAUUCGUAGUAAACUCGAGUGCCACUCACCGAUGGCUGUAGAAUCUCGCGUAAACAACAAUACGAAAGUCUCCCCUGUGCGCGACCUGCUGCUGGCUGUCAUUGUGGCAACUGGCAAGUUGUGUUGCGACCCUGGGACCUGGGUACGUGCCUGACGUGCUUAGAAUCUACGUUCUUCGAAUUGAUAAUGUAAUGAGCGAAAGUGUGUUGGAAAUUGCUGCUUCCGGCGUGAACUCCACGUUAUCAAGUUUGAGUUCUGCCAUCGGGCUCCUGCUGAGCGCAAGUCUCAGUCUCCUGGUGGAUGAGAGUGGAGACUUCUCGCUCCAACCCCUCUACAACGUCGCAGACACAGCAUAUGCAAGUUGGACAAACUUCACUUGGUGGUUAGGCCUAACCCCUCUUCAAAGUCAGGUGUUGAAAGGAUUCGUCAUCAUACUAAUUGCAAAUGUAUUUCUUAUAACGCUCUUCUGGAAUGUGUAUGCCAAACGUAUUUCACAUACACUCUCUUUUAAUAGCCUCCGAAUUGUAGAAGAUAUUUUAAGGAAAAACACAAACUUUAAACUACCUAAGGAUCACACACCAAGAAUAUAGUAACGUGUGAGAUCUGAUUCUGGGCAUUCGACAGUUAGUCUAGGCUAAAUUUCACAUCAGAAUAUUCAGCUACACUUCACACAUCAAAGUAA